UUCUUUUCCUUAAUGGCCUUAUGACCUUGGGCACAUCACUUACCAUCUCUUUGCUGGUGUCCUCGCCUGUGAAAUGAGAAUGGUGGUGAUGGCAGGAUCAGAGUUUUGUCGUGAGGAAUAAAUGAGUUAGUAUGUCUAACACUCAGAGCAGUGCCUGGCACAGGUGAGCAUGUUAGAGGCGUUUUUUCUUAUUCUCGGCAUUGUAACUAUGGCCACUGUAAUUACUGCUGCCACGUCCACGGCCCCAACUACACCCUGGGCUUUGACGAGAUCCUGGCUUAAGUUCUAGCCACUUACCAGCUGGGUAUGCUACCAAGUCUAAAAGCAUCUGUUUCUAGCCCUAGCCAAAUUGGCUCAGUGGAUCGAGCAUUGGCCUGUGGCCUGAAGGGUCCCAGGUUC